GUGUAGUAUCAUCAAGAUUCACAUGCAAAAAUUAAGUAGUGAAGUGAGCUUAUAUCAACAAUAUAUUCUCUCUACAUUUUUUUUGGUGCUGAGAAUCUUGAUGAUGCUGCAU
rnacentral:miRNA from 1 species